GGUUUGUGGCUCAGUGGUAGAGUAUUCACCUUGCACUUGCGAGACCCUGGGUUCGAUCCUCAGCACCA
rnacentral:tRNA from 1 species